rnacentral:rRNA from 1 species
GAUGAACGCUGGCGGCGUGCCUAAUACAUGCAAGUCGAGCGAACGGACGAGAAGCUUGCUUCUCUGAUGUUAGCGGCGGACGGGUGAGUAACACGUGGAUAACCUACCUAUAAGACUGGGAUAACUUCGGGAAACCGUAGCUAAUACCGGAUAAUAUUUUGAACCGCAUGGUUCAAAAGUGAAAGACGGUCUUGCUGUCACUUAUAGAUGGAGCCGCGCUGCAUUAGCUAGUUGGUAAGGUAACGGCUUACCAAGGCAACGAUGCAUAGCCGACCUGAGAGGGUGAUCGGCCACACUGGAACUGAGACACGGUCCAGACUCCUACGGGAGGCAGCAGUAGGGAAUCUUCCGCAAUGGGCGAAAGCCUGACGGAGCAACGCCGCGUGAGUGAUGAAGGUCUUCGGAUCGUAAAACUCUGUUAUUAGGGAAGAACAUAUGUGUAAGUAACUGUGCACAUCUUGACGGUACCUAAUCAGAAAGCCACGGCUAACUACGUG